CGCGCUGUCACGCAGAGCCCGCCGCGCCGCGCCGCGCGGGUCCCCGCCCCGCCGUCAGCUGUCAGCGCUCCCCGCCGCCAUCCGUCAGUGGCUUGUCAGCCCUGCCAAUCCGCCCUGAUUUAUGUCAGCUUUUGUUGCUGAUUACAAGCCUGGCAAAACGUGUUAAUCAAUCUUUUACUUUUGUUUCCGGAUCUGACAUGGUGGCCCACACAAUCUACAACAUUAACAAAAAGGUCACUUAGAGAUAAAACACGUUUGACAAGUGAAGAACAAGCGCGGAACGUGUCGCCGGAACGUGUCGGUGCAGGGCAGAGCCGGGCUUCCGUGUCGCCGUGCCCGCUGUGUUCUUCCGAGGCCGUGACAGUGAAAGGAUCGGGGGGCAGAGGGAGAAGCAUCGCACAAAAGCUGCCGCCGCUGCAGCGGGACUGACAACCCGCACCGUGCCCGUAAGGAACUCCCCCUUCCUUCAUACAGAGUGGAAGUGACUUGAAUCUGCCCCAGGUUUUCCCCCCGUUCAUUCUUUUGUUGUCAAGUCCAAUUGAUAAAUGGAGUGCAGUAAAACUCUGGAAGAAAAAAAAAAAAAAAAAGAGGGGAAAAAAAAAAAAAAAGCUGAAACCUUCAUUUGUGUUCAUUUGCAUUAAAGUGCUUGGAACAGCUGUUUUCCUUACAGGACCAGAGAGACUCCUAUCUGUUUUCUCGUUGUAUUUAUCCUGCCUCCCAGGGUGAAAGCCUAAAGAUUAAUUGUCCUAAGGCAGAGUCAGCUGCGGGCAGCCCCCCCUCCCCUCUCCCCUUCCCUCCCGGCCCGGCGGAGGUGCGGGGACUUCGGGAGGGCCCUCGGACUCGGGGUAGCGAAGCGAGGGCGAUGCCCGCUCCGUACGCACGGCACCGCGCACCGAGGGGAGCGGGGACGGGCGGGGAGCAGCGCGAACCCCGAGCUCUCUGGCUGAGGUAGAAGCGUCGGAGGGUAAUUUAAUUAGCAACUUCAGAAGACAGCUUUUCUUUUUUUUUUUUUUCUUUUUUUUUUUCCGCCGAGCCUUUGAAAUGAGGGUUAAAUCACACUCAGCACUGUAAACUUUUUACGUAGAAGGUUGUAAAAAUUAAAAAAAAUGAAAAUAAAAAAUCAAAAACCAAACAAAUGCCCAGCCAUCCCCUCCCCACGCCCCCCAAAAGCCUUUCUGAGCCGCGGCAGCUCUGCCCGUUCCCAACGUGCGCAGUGCGCGGCUCGAAGCGGAGUCCCGCCGCCGGGCUGCCCCGCGGAGCGCUGCGGAGCACUGCAGGGCUGGCGGCUCUCUCCGCUCCCGGCUGAGGAAGGCGGACUCCGUCCUGCUCGUUACCUUGCGAGGGAUCCUCGUUUAAUGAAUCCGCGCAGCCGGGUUGCUGUUGGGUGCUUACUUGUGUAGUCUUGUUGAAGUUUGGGUGGCUGUAGCUUUUAUUCUUCUUUAAAAAUAAUAAUAAUAAAAAAUAACAACAACAACAACAAAAAACCCAACAACAAAACCUGGGGGUUGAAACCCGUCUUCCUGCUCUUAAAAAGGAAAAUUGUAACUUAAAAAAAGAAAAAAAAAGGAGAGCAAAGGAGGAAUUAAUUAACAAGUGCCAGUCCACACUUUCCUUUACCUACCAGCUAUUGGCAAGCAUGUCAAGUCGAUUUUAUUUGCACACAAUGGAAAUGAUUUAUUUUCUCUUAAAAAGGAGUGGGCUGGCAGAUAUUUGAGGAGGAGAGGAGAGCGAGACCGAGAGAGGAAAAAAAGUUUGAAAAUGCCUUGAACUAUUCACUGUCGAGAUGGCUAAUCAGUAUUGAGGCUCGAGGGCACUCGGGCAGCUUUUCAAUGCGGUUUUCCUUUCAUCUCAAGCUGGAUGGAGGCGCUCAAUUAAAAGCCUAUCAGUUUGUCAGGCUGGCGAGCUGCAAAGCCUGGUCGGGAUCACCCAAAAACCCGGAGCGAGCCUUCCCCCGGGAGAGGGAACUGCAGCAGCUCGGCACCAGCCCUGCCGGCUCUCUCCCUUGCCACUUCAGCGUCAGCUUCUGUACAUCACGCUGGGAAAGGGCGUUUGGUCUUUUAAACUGAGCAGCCACUGCCCUGCAGGCCCUCGAGAUUGUUUUUUUCCUUCCUUUCCACCCCCUUCUCCCUUCUAUCGCUUCGGAACAAGGUUCAGCUUUUAAUUAACAGAGACCCGGUUGCUGAGUUGUCCCUGUGCUGUAUUUCUGUGCUCAGCACAGCUACCUGUCUGUCCUGGGCGGCAGUUUCCUUUGCUUUGGGAGCGCUGGCGCUUCCCCACCCGCCCCACGGCUCCUACAGAGGUACCAUGCAUUGCAGUGGGGGCUGUGAACGAUGCGUCUCCUGCCAUUAUUUUUUUCCCCUUUCAAAAAAUGGUAAUACUUCUGAUAAGGAACAUUCUGCCGUAUCGGAAAUAGCGCACCACGAUUUUCACCACGAUUCACAAUGAAUUUCACACGUUUGGGGAAGGGACAGCGUGUUUUUCCUCUUCUUUUUUUCUUUCAAUUCUUAUUUUUUUCCCCCAUGUGAGUGUGGGGGCACUCACUCACAUAACAGCCCGGUACUCAGAUAACAGCCCAGGUACCCGGCCGAGGCGCGGGGCAUUUCUUGUUGUCAAAGCGCUGCCCUGAAUGCCAACAGAAAAGAGGAUUUCCAAACCUCUCCUCUGUUUGCAUAGCGCUCGAAAAUAUUUACCCUUAUGAUUGUAAUUACUUUCCUAAUAUAUAUGAGAAAGAUAUAUUUUGCUCCGCAUGACAUGUAGGUAAUCGUCUUACGAGCGGGGAUAAAUUUGGAGCCAUCUUCAAAAUAACAGUCACGUUGAAGUGCACAAGACUUUAUUUUUUUCCUUCCAAAUGAUAUUUUUUUGCAAAACGAGCAGAAAAUCGCUUUUCUGUUUGUUUGUUCGCUUCUUCCUUCCGGAAGCGGACCUUCUCUUAAAGGCUUUCAAAGGAAUUCGCCCGAUUUUCUUCCCUUUGUCACAUCAAGAGAGAAGGAAGCGACGAACACACCCAAUAAAGCCCUUUUCCUUUUAAGCCAUUUGAUAGAUUCCUUUAUUGAUGCUGGGAGUUUCGUGUAUGAGUGUGAAGGUUGUAACCCCCGCGCUGAAGCCCUUUCGCCAGAAGUGCCCUCUGUUACGUUCCAGGUGUCGUCUGGGCGAGCAGCUCUCCUUUCAAACCCGCCCUGAGGGAACUUUCUGGAGGGAGCGGGCGAGAGCAGAGCCAGGCGGCUCCGGCGGCGCGGCACGGGCAGGGCACGGCUCCUUCCAGGCGCACCGACAUCCUCGGUUGCAUUUCACAUUGUGCAAUGUGCUGCGAUUUAACCGAGCAGCCGAAAGCGAGCGAGCGCGUUCCCUAAUCGGUGCACGUGUAGUUGAGCUGGCGCUCGCCGCCCGGCUUGUGGGAACGAAGCUUUAGCUUCUGCGGCACCUUGCUCUGACCCUCGAGUCCCACGGCUCGUCCUCACGCCUUUGUGCUCAUCCCCGCCAGGGCUCCGGGAGAGGCUGACCCGAGCAGCGCCCGGCGCCGGUUGGCGCAGCGCCGCAGAGCGCAGCG
ensembl:lncRNA